rnacentral:sRNA from 2 species
ACCCGUGUCUCUUCUCUCUGACUCACCAUCCGCUGUCCCUGCUCUGUCCCCGCUCUGUCCCCGCCGCUGCCUAAUACUGCAUGUCUUAUCUUCUCUGUUUGGCUUUGCUAAUCUUCCUUCCCCGUAGAUAGUUACCAGAGUCAGCUAAAAGCUAUCCGCGCUAAAGUGUGCCAAUCCUGAGUGUAGAAACAUCAUUUCUCUUGCAUCUGAGAAGACUAGACUUGUAGAUUCCUGAAUGUGAGUUAAUGAUACUUAGCAAUACACCUGAACACACACUCGCCCAUAUCUAUUCGAUUAUUUGUCUUUCAAUGACUCGAGGAAGGUAGGUUGGGCGUGUAAUUAGACGCGAAGGCCAUGUGAUUUGACUUUACACGCGGCAACCAAAAAUAUGCCCAGCAUAUCGAAAAACCAAGAUAACACACAAGAUCGCCCAACAAAUCAACACAACCUUUGACAAUUCCCUACACGACCGUGGGUUGAUCCCCUCACACUCUAGGGAUGUUAAUUGUGUGAUACAUAUAUUGAUUCUCUUUUCAGUUGGGGCCGUACCACCACACAACUACUUAUUUUGAUGAGCUACCUACAGUAUCUGACCUCCCAUCUGCCACAACUCCCCCCCCUGUUUUUCUACAUACAUCUUCAAAGAUGACCCGAGCCCAACAGACUCUCUCUGUCCUCCUCUUAAUCACAUCGCUUUACCUCGCCCUCUACCUCGGCCUCAUUCCUCUAAAUCCCACCAUCCAGAAUGAAAUAAUACCAGUCCUCCCUUUCUACUCCCUCAUGGUAAUAGGCGCAUACAUGCUCUUCCGCCUCGGGUGGGGUGUGUAUGCCUUCAACGAUGUGCCUGAGGAGUACUCAUCGCUGCAGGAGGAGAUUCUGGAAGCGAAGAACAAGUUGCGGGUGGCAAAGGUGGACGUUGAUUAGGGUGGUUUUAUGCAUCUUUGUUCAGUCUUUUAUGGUCUGGGUUGUGAUCAAUGAACAGAGGCCAGGAGGAAGCAGGGGAUGGGAGAGGAAAGAAAGGUUGGAGGUAGGAGGAGACGAGACGGAAAUGUCAGGCUUCUUUAUUGAGAUGGGUGCAAAGAAUGUUGAGCCCCGAUGAGGGAAAUUUUUCUUGUUUUUUUCUUGUCUCUUUUUGCUGUUUCUUAUACCUGUUUGUUUGGCUUCGUUCAUUGUUAACAAGGUAUCCUCCAUAAUCCAAGGCUCUUUCUUUUUCCAGUGCAAAAUAUUUCUAAUAUCUAUAGAAUCUUCAAUUUUAAGAAAUUCUAAACCUAAUGUCAGGCUACGUCAUAGUUUUCAUUUAUUUUAAAAAUCAAAGAAAAAGAAAGCUAAAAUAAUGAUGCAAAUAUGCAGAAUGCAGAAUAGAAACAGAGGCGGGGAGAGUUGGGGAGCCGGAGAAAAAAGUAAUAUAAAACGUAAUAGAGCUAGGAGACAGAAGCAGAAAUGAAAAUUCAUAAAAACUUCCACUAUUAGCUUUUGUGUAUUGGCAAAGGAACCAAUACUGGUGGAGGGUAGAAAGGAAAUAUAUAAAACAUCAAGCCAAUGGAUGUUGAGCCGCCAGGUGAUCGUGCUCGUCGAUAUCUUUGGCCUCCCAUGGAUAGCAAAUCCAGACAUCACCAGUGGUGACUGCAGCAAGGUAUCGUCCGUUCUCCAUCAUGUCGGUGGGCAGUGUACCCUUCUUGUCCUUGUUUUUGUUGUGCAGCACAAACACAGAGAAUGUAGUCGUCUCUCCCUCUCUACCCAACUGUUGUUGGGCAACCUGUACAUCUUUCUGCAGCUCCCGCACAGCGUAUUCCAACGUCGUCCGCGUGUCAUCGACCUCGUCGACAAUCAACACAUUCUUCCCGAUCAGAUUGGCCAUUUCCAGUGAGCUGAGAUCGAGCCAUUGCGUGCGCGUAACUUUCGUUCCGAGCUGCUCAAUCUGGUCGUCUUUUCCUAGGUUCUCGUACAGCGAUAAGCCGAUGGCUUGGAUGGGGAUGUUUGCGCCGCCGGGUUGUUUGAGGAAGGACCUUAGAAUUCUUGCUGGAAUAUAUCCUCCUCCGCCAAUGGCGAUCAUGAGGUUUGGCUUGAAAUCAUUGAGGAUGCGGUCUGCCGAGAGUUGACACAACGUGUGCACCUGGUUAUAUGUGACAUAGACCUUUUCUACCAUUGUGGUCUCGUUUGAACUUUCACGUAGAUAGACUUGGUGGGGGUGGAGGGGUGCGAAAAAAAAAAGGAAAAAGGAAAGAUGGCCGUGCCCCACGAUCCGAUCGCCCUGUGCACCCAGGGAAGUGUAUCGCUCCUGUUUCUCGAAGUCUUUGUCUGUGGAUUUCAGAAUAAAUUAUGUUUCCGAUGAAACCCACUUAGCUUGUAUGAAGGAGAAAGGAGUGGAAGAUGAGAAGAGUAUAAAUAUAGAAAUAUCCGUAAUGGGG